rnacentral:rRNA from 1 species
UACGGAGGGGGCUAGCGUUGUUCGGAAUUACUGGGCGUAAAGGGUUCGUAGGUGGCCUGCUAAGUCAGACGUGAAAUCCCUCAGCUUAACUGGGGAACUGCGUCUGAUACUGGAAGGCUUGAGUGCAGGAGAGGAACGCGGAAUUCCAGGUGUAGCGGUGAAAUGCGUAGAUAUCUGGAGGAACACCGGUGGCGAAGGCGGCGUUCUGGACUGCAACUGACACUGAUGAACGAAAGCCAGGGGAGCAAACGGG